rnacentral:rRNA from 1 species
GAGGAAUAUUGGUCAAUGGGCGCAAGCCUGAACCAGCCAUCCCGCGUGCAGGAAGACGGCCCUAUGGGUUGUAAACUGCUUCUCCAGGGGGAGAAUUUUUCUGUCGUGACAGGAAUUGACGGUACCCUGGGAAUAAGCAUCGGCUAACUCCGUGCCAGCAGCCGCGGUAAUACGGAGGAUGCGAGCGUUAUCCGGAUUUAUUGGGUUUAAAGGGUGCGUAGGCGGAUUGAUAAGUCAGUGGUGAAAACCUGCAGCUUAACUGUAGACUUGCCGUUGAUACUGUCAGUCUUGAGUGUGGUCAAGGUAGGCGGAAUGUGUAAUGUAGCGGUGAAAUGCUUAGAUAUUACACAGAACACCGAUUGCGAAGGCAGCUUACUGGGCCAUUACUGACGCUGAUGCACGAAAGCGUGGGGAUCGAACAG